GAUGUGUUGCCACAAAGGUUAUAUUUCUUCGAUCACUAAAGUAGAAAUCAUCACAAAACUGCUGUACAGGAGUCUGAGCUGUGUGCAUGUGGCCACUGUGCAGGGGGAUCAGGAUGACCUAGUGCCAGUUUUUACCUCCCAGAAGAUCAUGUAGAGCCGAAAGCAUCCUGCACAUCUUGGCAUCCAGAAAGUGACUCUGAUUUCUUUCCAGUACAUCUUCUGUUGCUACAAGCAACGAAAGCCUGCAGCUUAACUCUUGGGUGGACUACAGCCAAAAAGUUGCCUAGUAUCUAGUUCUUAGCAGAAUGCUAUAGCAAGGCAGAUUUUCUCCACCUCCUUUCCAGAUUUCUAGAUUCUAUACAGCAGAUCUCUACAUAGCAGAUCACUCCCUAGCAGGAUUUGGGGAACAAAACUUCUGCCUCAUUGCAUCAGAGCACAAAUCAGUGUUGUUUAGUUAAAUUGUUUUUUGCACAUCAUUUCCAUUUUUGGAAGCUGUUAUCAUCUUGAAAGCACAGAUGGGAGUCUUACUUUUGCUUAGUAUAGUCUGGUAUUUCCCUUUCUCUGCCAGUUACUAACGGUGCCCUGUUGUGUUUGCUCUUGUGGAAAGUACAUGGCUUCAUUAGCGCAGUUACACUGGGCUGCAGUUCUUUGGUGCCAUCUGUGCUGAUUAUCGAUGCUUGGCCUGGAGCCUGAAAUACUGAAGGUUGCAGGAAAACCAUACGACCUUCUGGUGAUUCCUUGGACAGGCUACAAAUUUGGGUCAUCAGAACAGCUACAACAAAUGAAGUUAGUAUAAGUCAAAAUCCCAGACUAAUGUUUGUAUGCUGUCUCGAGUGUGAUGAGCCUGCAGCAGCAUUUUAUUCUACCUUCAACUAACAAUUACUACAAAAGCAAUAAUUCAGCAAAGCAAACAUCUCCAGGCAAGGCAGAUACUCAGCUCCAUUA